rnacentral:rRNA from 1 species
AGUAAAUAGAUACCCCGGUAGUCCACGCCGUAAACGAUGUCGACUUGGAGGUUGUGCCCUUGAGGCGUGGCUUCCGGAGCUAAACGCGUUAAAGUCGACCGUCUGGGGAGUACGGCCGCAAGGUUAAAACUCAAAUGAAUUGACGGGGGCCCGCACAAGCGGUGGAGCAUGUGGUUUAAUUCGAUGCAACGCGAAGAACCUUACCUACUCUUGACAUCCAGAGAACUUAGCAGAGAUGCUUUGGUGCCUUCGGGAACUCUGAGACAGGUGCUGCAUGGCUGUCGUCAGCUCGUGUUGUGAAAUGUUGGGUUAAGUCCCGCAACGAGCGCAACCCUUAUCCUUUGUUGCCAGCGGUUAGGCCGGGAACUCAAAGGAGACUGCCAGUGAUAAACUGGAGGAAGGUGGGGAUGACGUCAAGUCAUCAUGGCCCUUACGAGUAGGGCUACACACGUGCUACAAUGGCGCAUACAAAGAGAAGCGACCUCGCGAGAGCAAGCGGACCUCAUAAAGUGCGUCGUAGUCCGG